rnacentral:misc_RNA from 1 species
GCCAGGUUCGUGGCCCAAGUUGCGCAAGGAAGCUUGCCAACUAUCUCGAGGAGAUUAAGGAGGAUGCUGGAAUAAAAAACAUUUGUGUUCUUGAACGUGGCUUCAAUGGCUGGGAAGCGUCUGGCCGACCCGUUUGUCGCUGCAGCAACGUGCCUUGCAAGGAGGGGAUGUAGGAUUAGGGGAUGUAGGAUUCAGAAAUUUCAUCAAAGCUGGUGCGAACUUAAUCAAUCAAAUGGC